CAGAAACUUAAAUGAAGUUGACGGGGCCCGCACAAGCGGUGGAGCAUGUGGUUUAAUUCGAAGCAACGCGAGGAACCUUACCUGGGCUCGAACGUAAGAUGACUGUAGGUGAAAGCUUACAUCUCUUCGGAGCAUUUUACGAGGUGCUGCAUGGUUGUCGUCAGCUCGUGCCGUGAGGUGUCGGGUUAAGUCCCAUAACGAGCGCAACCCCUACCUUUAGUUGCCAUCAGGUUAAGCUGGGGACUCUAAAGGAACUGCCUACGCAAGUAGUGAGGAAGGCGGGGAUGACGUCAAAUCAGCACGGCCCUUACGUCCAGGGCUACACACGUGCUACAAUGGCCGAUACAGAGGGCAGCUACCUGGUGACAGGAUGCAAAUCUCCAAAGUCGGUCUCAGUUCGGAUCGGAGUCUGCAACCCGACUCCGUGAAGUUGGAUUCGCUAGUAAUCGCGCAUCAGCCAUGGCGCGGUGAAUACGUUCCCGGGCCUU
rnacentral:rRNA from 1 species